CAUUUGCCUUAUAUGGACACAAUUUCACCAUAUAUGGGACAAAUCUUGAGAUACGAAACUGUGACUGUAACGGUGUGCUUAAGCAAUCAGAAAACGGCUAUCGGCUAAUUUGAAUUGUCGUGUAUUUUACAGAUCUAACACAAAUACAUAGUUUAUACCAAGUCCUGACAAUAAUUGGCUUCGCUGGUAUGCUAUUUCUCUUAAAUUUGGACUUGGAAAGCUUGUAUAUACCUUUUAAAGGCACAUUAUAUUAUAAUUUGAACGUUUAUAAUGCGCAAAAACGUGUUAUAUUUAUGGCUUCAUUAAAAAGAAGAUUUUAAAGUACCAAAUUAUCAGCUUGAAUUGGCAUGUUUGUGGUAUCCUUUUCAUACAGCAGAAGAAAAGGGAGUUGCGAAGAUUGCGUAUAAUGAGAGCGAGAGAUGUUAUCUUUCAAUACGUGAGAUAAAAAGAAGAAAGCGAAACCUCAUCCCGCGUUGUUAUUGUUUUUCUGUCAAAAACUUGAAGCUGUUUUAUAAAUCUUGAUAAAGUUAAUAAUUUGUUUUCGUUUCUGUA